rnacentral:rRNA from 1 species
CACGUAGGGCGCAAGCGUUGUCCGGAAUUAUUGGGCGUAAAGCGCGCGUAGGCGGUUACUUAAGUCGGAUGUGAAAGCCCUCGGCUUAACUGAGGAAGUGCACCCGAAACUGAGUAGCUAGAGUACGAAAGAGGGUCGCGGAAUUCCCGGUGUAGAGGUGAAAUUCGUAGAUAUCGGGAGGAACACCGGUGGCGAAGGCGGCGACCUGGGUCGAGACUGACGCUGAGGUGCGAAAGCGUGGGGAGCAAACAGG